rnacentral:tRNA from 1 species
CUCUUAUAUAGUUUAAAUAAAACCUUGUAUUUUCAUUACAAAAUUAAAUUAUAUUAUUUUAUAAGU